GGGAAUAUAGCUCAGUUGGUAGAGUGCUUGCCUUGCAUGCACAAAGCCCUGGGUUCAAUCCCCAGCACCACCA
rnacentral:tRNA from 1 species